UUUGGAUCAAGAAGUCUGACCACAGCAAUCCUUGUGUAAGGCCCAUUCUACAGGCCUGUGGUGUUGAGGGAAAUUUCUUGCAACCACUUUCUAUCUCUACCUUCUCCUCAGGCUAUAAUCAUGCCCAAGAUGGUCCAUUCAUAAGGAAAUCAAAAUUCAACAUGAGCAUUUUCCUGGACUUUCUUCUGCAUAACCUCUAAGAGAAUGGCAUCCACUCUAAGGAUCUCAACCAGCACCUACAUGCCGCAGACCCCAAACCUACCUCAUCACAGACCUCUCUGCAACACCGCUUAAGUCCUCCCCUGCCCACCUCCUCCCCAGUUCUUCCAUCUCCUUUAGCAUCCGCACCAUCCAAAUAGUCACCUUAAGUCACCUCAAGUCACCUCAACCAGAAAUUGCAUGAUUUUUAAAAAAUCUGUCCUUUUCCUUUACAUCCCAUCUAUCUGGGUAGGUAUUAUUCUUGCCCCUCCCUCCAAAGAAAUUACAGAAAAAGAAGAGUUUCCCCUUUAGGGUAUUAACUUCACUUAUCUUUCUGCAUUUUUAAAAGAAUAUAUGAAAACUAGAAGGCAUGUCAGCUAAUUCCCAUGGGAAAAAGGACUGAAGUAGUUGAGCUAUGCAGCCUGUCCCAGCAAGAAAAUAGGAAGAGACCUCACUUGACUGUGGGUGGGAGCCAUGAUGUUCUAUGUCACUUUUCGUGUUCCUGGGCUAACAGGUGAAUUACCUCCCUGACUUGUAUGACAGCAGCAAUGACAUCAGCGAGAAAUGUCAGAGCUGUUCGUUCCCACCAGAAGGAGAACGCUUUGCAUUCAGAGAAAGAGUUGUUAGCAAAAUGGCCUUAAAAAGGUCAUGUGCUGGGAAGCUGGGGAUGGGAGGAGAGUGGGUGAGUGAGAAGGGAAGCGGAGAAGAAGACUCUGGCAGUGCGGGCCUGUGUCUUCUGACUAGAUGGUCAAGAAGGAGUGAGCAUGAUGAUUUUCAUGGGGUCCCAAGUUUGGGGGUCAACAGAGGCCAACAGUGAGUGACAAAAAAAAGAAAAACAACAACUGUGUCCUGAAUACAAAGGAAGCUGAAAGUCAAAACUGAGGUCAAGCUGACACAGCUUUAAAUAAUAAAGUAAGGAAAUAGGCAUUCCCGUCAUGGCGCAGUGGAAACAAAUACCACUAGGAACAUGACAUAGUGGGUUCAUUCCCUGGCCUCGCUCAGUGGGUUAAGGAUCCGGCAUUGCUGUGAGCUAUUCAUUUCUGCUGCGCCAAGACAGGAACUCCUUGUUUUAUUUUAAUAAUAACUUUAUGAGGGAGAUACUAUUUAGACACAAAAAAUUUGAAUUUCAGAGAUGUUGACUGUUUUCCUGAGACAUAGAUUUGGAAAUUAUAACACUUCCAAUUAAAACAUGAAUACCAUUCGUUGAUAAUCAAACACGAUUUAGACAAAUCUGGACCAAAGUUAUCAUUAGUGAAUUUGACUUUUCAUAUUACCACAAAGCUUGUUUCAAAGUGGUAUUAGCCAUUCCAACCACCAAACCUAUGUUAAAAAAGUCUCUCCUCUUAAUAUAUUUAAAAGAAUGUUUCACAUGAAUUCCAAAGAUAAUGACUUCUUCUAUGCUUGCUUAAAAAAAUAGAAACACUCUACAUAACUGUGAAUUCACUUAUCAGAAUUAUUACCAUUACCAACCAUAUAUCUGUAACCAUAUGGCUAUUUAUUUGAUAAAGUAUUUUACCUCUGUAUCUCCACAAAAUCCUUGAAGACUGGGACUUGGAGAAAAUACAGAAGUACAGGAAUCAGGAUAUAGGAAGAACUUGAGAAAGCAAAACAAGAAUGAGUAAAUGGAAAAAAAGAACAUCGUCUAGGACUCAGAUUUCUGAAUGAGCAAUAAAGUGUUCCCAACAAACUUUUUCCUACAAAGAAAUGUUGCAGAGGCAAAGAGAUUCUCCAAGGAGGAAACCACCAGGACUCAGACCACAGCAUUUUGCAAUUCAUGCCCAAUGCCUCUCAUUAUGACGAAAAUUAAUGAUAAUUCCAGGAGGCUGACACAAGAGGUGCAACUUCCUGCAGGUCAUUACAAGACACACCAGCACUGACAUAGCUGCAGGUUUAAGAAUCUCUAAGAAUGAGCAUGGUUAAAAAAAAAAGGAAAGAUUUUUUUCCUUUCUGUCACCAGCCCAGCUUCCAUUGCAGUAUAACAGCCUAAAGAUGCAGACGUUGAGUUUAUGAGGCAAAUAAUGGAGUUGAUAGAUGGGUCUGCGCUCUGAGGGGCGGAAGGAAGAUUGGAUCAGGGCUGGUCUGCGCUGGAGCAGCCCUCUCCCUUCCAUCCAUCCUAUGAGGACCCCUAGUCAGCCAGUGCUCUGAGACUGACAUAAAUCAGGGGCAACAACGGAUGAGCAUGAAGAAACGGGCUGGCAGCCGUGGCGCCGCAGCCAUAAAUCAGGAACUAAUUCAAUCCUGUGAGAUGCCUCGUUUGAUUAAUUUACGUCAGCAUUUUCUGUGUUGUCAGGCUCAGUCCCUGGAGUCUCCCCCUUGUCUCGUUCUCCACUUUCUCUGGCACAAAGUGGGGCCCCUCCCACCACCACAAAGGAAGAAGAGAAUGGAACACCAGCAGAUUCCAGAAGAAUGAGUGCAACUAGCUCCAUCUCCUCCCCAGCUGGUGAGAAAGAUGGAGAAAGGCUCUCGCAGGGGUCCCAGGUUCCAGGUCAGAAACACCAUUCUCCAAACUUCAUGGGGGAAGAGGGUUAACAAGUCGCACCCUGAUCAGAGAAACAGGUUUUCUUAGAGGAGUGAGAAAAAUACUUUGGUGCUUAAUCCUCUUGAUGCAAAAGUGAUUGUGACCGCUAUCAUUUACAAGAGUGGAGAACUGGAAACAGCCCGGAUACCCAACAACAGCAAAAGUAAUUUGUGCUAUAUCAAUAUAGUAAAUGGAGGUAUUUCCUUGCAUAGGAAGUCAUUCAUUUGUAUACAAAUAUGCUCAUGGUGUGCUGUUUAGUGAAAAAAAGUACCAGUUAAAUAAUUGAAUUUUUGUGUGUUUCUGUUGUUUUUCUGGGGAAAAUGUGUAUAUCUAUAUUUUACCUCUCUAUUAUUUUAGACUAUUAAACUCGAUGUUCUAAAUGUUUAUGAUAAAUAUGUAUUUCUCGUGCACUGGAAAUAAGUACUUUAAGAGUAGUCUGAACAAAGACCAGAAAUUCCAAAGACAUGGAAGAAGAAUUUAGAUGUUUUUGUCAUAAGCUCCCUAGCAUUGGGAAAGAUUUCCUUGGUGUCCUAGGAUCAGGGUGAGCAGAUGGAAUAGGAAACCAGGUGGUACUUGAGAGGGCCUGGUCCAUGUGGGCAGACCGAAGACGACCACAGCUCAAUUCAAAUGGAAGAGGAAACGACCAGAAAGGAUGUGGCUGGGAGGAAGGGCUGGUGUCUGCUCAGGGUCCCAGGGAGCCGCUCUAUUUUAGGCUUGAUGGAGAUCAAGUUCUUUCUGAGCCUGAUGAGUUGCUUAUUUAUCCUUCUUGUUAAAAAUGUUUAUACCUUUUUACUAACCUUGGUAUAUCGGUUCAUCAGUGUAACAGAAGGAAAAACAUAAAAGUAGGUUUUCCAUUAUGGACCUCAACCCAUGACAGGUAGCACCUAUCAAAAACAGUUUCUAUGUUCACACAUUUAAUUAGGAAACUUGAAACUGAAAGGAAAGACAGGCAAGGAUGAUGUGCCCUAAAAGAAAAUACUUUACUUCAUUGACUGUGUCUACAUGGGUGUUUAGUCUUAAGGGAGUCUAAAUUUAAAGUGCAUCUAGAUAAGUAUUAAGUAUGACCAACCCUUUCAGGAUGGAGAUGUAGGUGAAACCUGUGAGCCUACAAGCAAGGCUGGUGAAAAGAUGCAAUGAAUGAGAGGUGGAUAUUGGUAGUCUGGUCCUUAGGUUAUUUUUAAAAAGCUUUAAUUAGCCCCAAAGAGUUAAUGCCUGGCUGAACAUUUUGGGGAAUAUCCCAAUCCUGGCUGUCCCAGUAAUACCUAUGAAAUUUAGACAAAUAGAUAACACUUUGAAGUGUCUUUGGGUGGGAUUGCUGCGUCCAUACCUCAAAAGAGUUCCCAUAGGAUUUUGUGUAUGGCAGUUUUGGAAAACACUGUGUUUGGUAUAUUUAUCUCUAUUCCAAAAGAAAAAUACAAACUUUUUACAUGGAAGGUAUGGAGAGCCAGGUUGGUGUAAGCAAGUAUCUUAAUUUAAUCUGUGCAAGACUGAAGUGUGCAAAACUGGAACAAACUGGAACCGACUGGAACAGACUGCCUAAUGAGGGCAUGAGCCUCCAUCCUGAAAAGGGGCAAGGUACUACUUCUCAACAAUUUUGCAUCCGUGGCAUUAUUUUAACAUGAGAUCUUCAAAAGAGUGUCAGGCAAGUCAGCAAUAAUCCCCACGCCAUCCCUACCGUGGUUUAAAAAUAAGUUGUACCAACUGCAGGAAGGUCCACAAUUGUUCCACACCCGCCUGGGUCAUCUUGUAGCCCUGCCCUUCAGUGAGAACAGAGCUGGCUGACUCAGAACCCUGCCCUCCAAAGACCUUGUACCUUCUGGAGGUGAUGGAAGAGAACGUUUGCCUCCACCAGCUUCUCGUUCUCCUGCACGAACCUCCUCUAAGCUGUGCUCCUGUCAGCAGCAGGUCACGCCACACCUUCCCAGCUCAGGCAUCACUACACUGCUCCCGUGUGCUCAGUUUUAUAAGAACAAGGUUUUCCCCCAUCAUUAAUAUUUAGAGGCACACCUGUGAAGGGUUUAGGGAUCAUGGCCGCAGCUCUGUGCACCUGCUGAGAGCCACUGCUCCAGGCAGGGCUAGGUGCAGGCCUGCUUCACAUCUCACAGGGGUAGGAAGGAAACCUGCAUGAUUCCUAAGGCCUUUUUAAAAUUCUGUAAUUCAAAGGAAGUAAGGAAGGGAGGGAAAGGUGACUGUUAAUUCUGCCAAAACCCUGAGGAAAUCAGUAAUCUUGAAUCGCUGAUGCUAAUUUAUGAUUUUGGACAGGUUGCCUAAAAUUUAUCAAGCUUAACCAAAUCCACAGAAAUGAAUGAACAAAUAAAUAAACAAAUCAAAAUCUUGCUACCCCUUGGAUGAGAAAUUCUGCACCAGAGCCAAGAUUUCCCAAAGAGAGAAACUCCAAAACUGCACACUGAGGCAGGAAAAGAAGAGGUGAACACAACUCCAGAUCCUCCCGCUGCCCAGAGCAUCCCAUGGCUCAGGUCUCCAUGAGAACAGGUUUCAGAACCACCCACUGACAUCUCAGUGAUGUCCCGGGUCUCCCGACUGCUCCAGCAAAUGCAGCAUCUCAUGUGGAGUCGGAGCUUCAUAGUCACGGAGAUGUCUCUAGAACCAGAGAGCAAGGUGUCAAAUUAAGCAUUCAGAAUCACACCUUGCUGACUUUCAUUUACUUUUUGAGGGAGAGAGAGAGGAGGGGGGAUGGAGGCCAUUUUCAGGAUGCCUCUACUCUUCAAAAGAGGGUGGGCAGGAGGCAGUGCCAAGGUUUCAGGCCAACUUGGGAUGGCUUUAUGGCUCUGUGGACGGGUACACUUUAGGUCUCAUUUGGACCACUCAGGUGGCAUUAUUUCCAAGGACAGAUGGCGAUAAAUGAACAAAUGCCUUGGCUCUUAUUAUAUCAAUAAAUUUUAUAUAUAUAUAUAUAUAUAUAUAUAUACACACACACACCAAUAUAUUAUAAAAUUGGUGAUACUAAUACACCAAGGCCGUGAAAUGUUUCUGGCCUCAUUGGCCUUAGUUGUUAAAUGUGAAUCAUGUCUUGGAGUGUGUAGGUGGUGGUGAGAAACUGCCUUCUGGAAGUGUAGCCUCUCCACCUUUGGUUCAGGCAGAACUGGGGGGAACACUGGUGUGUGUGAGUGUGUGUAUGUGAGUGCAUGUGCGUGUGCCUGUGUGCAAUUCAGGUAUGAAGGUGGUUCUGUGGUUGGCCAGGCAGCCUGCUCCUAGUAACAUGGGUCUUGGUGACCUUCCUACAUGGUCUAACCCAGCCUCUGGAACCUUCUGCAACCCAGAAGACAGUGCCUUUAAUACUAACAUACAAUAGACUCCCGCAAAGGACAUAGCAGACCCCUCUUUCCCAUCGCCCAGAGUCCACACACUCCCACAUAACACAUAACAAACUUACUGAAGGCAAAGCAAAGCACAGAGAAUGGGGUAUCAACUGGAAGCCAGUGCACUUGGUACAGUUUUACCAAUUGAAUGGGGUGCUCUGAGCCAGCGUCAGAGGACAAACAGCAAGACAGACAUGAAGGGGCCCC
rnacentral:lncRNA from 1 species